UCCUUGUCAUUGAGUGAGAGCCCAGGCAGCUACUGUGGAGACGAACCUCCCCGAGGUUGCCUACAAAGGGCAGUGUUCCAGUGUGUUCUCUCCUCGAGUGUGCUUCAGCGCUCAGCACUUCCUGUUUAUUCAAACAUCUCUUUUACCACUCGGCAAACCCCCGCUUCACAGAAACAGCCAGAGCUCAUCCACGGCAAGACGGAACUGCAAAGGCAGACGUAGAGACUCACUCAGUCAAACUCUUCAUUUUCCUUAGAUCUGAGAGGACGGAAUCCUGCUAACUCCUUGAUAAUUCUCUCUUGAUUUCACAUGUGGCUUUGGCUCUGAUCAGGAGGAAUCAGCCAGUGUUGCCAGACACUUCCACAGGCUGAAUGUAGACCGUAACUUUCUCUCUGCGUGCCUGUAUGUACCGCCUGCUUCUUUUCUUCCUGUUCUGUUAUCUCAAGUUCUGAGAGAGUGUGGGGACGGUGCCUGUGACACUCUGCAGAGUUUGUCCUCCGGGGUUGACAUCACGACACCGUCAUCAUGGGCGAAUCGGUCUUGAUAAUAUUUGUACCAAUUUCAUGCCAAUAAAAGUCAGGCUGCCG
rnacentral:lncRNA from 1 species